rnacentral:ncRNA from 1 species
UGACCCACCUUGUUGAGCAAGGUGGCUCCCGUUAAUAAGGCGCCAGACGGCGGGAGUAAAAUCUCGCGAAUUGCUGGAACACCCUAAAGCCAACUUGACCACAACGCAGCCGGUGACGGCAGACGUGACGGUUGGAAAACAAGUUGGAUGCAACAAUGGGCAACCAGCAGCCAAGCAUCUCUGGAAACGGAGAUGAAGGUUCAACGACUAUUGAAACUUCCUACAGCCCUCGAUACAAUGAUGAUAACGAACGUUGUUUCGAGGGGAGAGAGGGCCAUGGAAGGAGUAAAUCGUAGCUUAUGGCGACGAGGCUACGAGGCGCGAGACAGGGAAGCAUUCUCUUCCCUGAUGAUAUAGUCUGAUCUCCGACCGAAAGGCGGAG